CUCUCUCCCUUUCUCCAAUGGUCCAUGACAUUGGCUUUGUGAUCUCUUAAAUAUGUCCUCGGUUUUUCUAUUCGAUCUGAUCCUAAGAAUGUUCCCAAAUAGUUCUUCCUCUUUCUCUUUUUCACAUUUGUAGCAUUUGCUUGCAGCAAAUGGCGUCGGUUUUUCUGUUCAAUUUUUAGUAUGACAGUCGAAGCAUCAAUCAGUUACUCUAUUAAUGCUUCCCUUGUUUCUGUCUCCAAAGCAUUGUAUCUUUUAUGGUGAGCUCUUGUAUGUUCUCAUAUUUUUUUUUUCUGAAAACUGUUCUGCACAUGAAGAAACUGAUCCUUCUAAAAUACCAACCACCUGUAACUUGGGGAGGGCAAUGACUUGGUUCUGCUUGGCUGCCAACCAGGAGAUUCCUUGGUAUUUUACUUCUCUGGUCGUGGUUCACAAAUCUGUGAUAUUGAUGGUGAUGAGGUUGAUGGAUACGAUGAAACAAUGUAUGCUAUGGACAUAAACAGAAGCAAUGCUUGUUGAUGAUGAACUCAAUGCAACUCUUGCCAUACCGCUUCCUUGUGGCGCCAGGCUUCCUGCAAUUGUCGAUUGUUGUCACAGUGGCACGGUCUUGGACUUGCCUUUCGUUUGUAGGAUGGGUAGGUCAGUCUGAAUGGUCUAUAGAUAUUUUACCUUUUCUUUUCAGUGAAUCUGAAGCUAUACCUAUCGAGAGACUUGUUCGAGUGUUUCAUCUCAUGAAUUAUCUAUUAAUUACAUUCCAUCAGUCUGCAUUUCAUGCUCUUUGAAAAACAGUAUCCUACUUAUGGUUCAAAGCCAGUCCAAAGUUUUCUGCUCCUGACAGUAAUAACAGUUAAACAUCAAAUUUUUGAAAUAAUAAUAGACUAUACCGUAUCUGUUAUUAUGGUUUUGGUUAUGGACAUCUGGUAGAUGCAGAAAUAUUGUGUCUUUCCAUGUCUUAGAUCUUGAUUGAGUUUCCCAUGGUUCAUUCUCUAUGAGGUGCUACUUCUUAUUUCUGGUGUAAAUUUAAUUGCUUGCCUAACGAACUGGAAAAUAGAAUAAAUAUGAAAAAAAAUCAUCUGCACGGUUCUCACACGGAAACAUCAACUAUGCAAAGGAAGCAAGGAUUUUCAGUUCAUUGCAUUUGUGGCCCUUCUCUGGAUUUUACUUGUACAAUAUCUCUUUAUUCAGUUUCUGUGUGACAUGGGCGGAAGAGAGAGAUUGUCUGGCUGGUGUGGGCAGUUCGUAGACACAGCAGAUCAUCUUUUGAUCAGACUAUGAUCAAAUUAAGUUCGAUCCAAAAUUGAUACUUUUUCCUUUAUUUUGUCAUUGUUGUAACUUUAAUUUAAUAAUAUUACAUGUAUCGGUUAUUGAACUCAAAUGCUUGUGUGUGUUGGGGGAGUGGAGGAGAGAUAGCCUAAUUAUCCGACCGUAUAUUUUCUAUUUGAUUUACCAUCAUGCAGGAGGCAGAUUUUUGCCCAUAAAUUGCAGAAUUUGCUUGUUUUAUUUGCAGGUCAUGUUUUUAUAGUGUGUCCAAAUAUGCUUGACUAGACCUUAGGUAUUUGAAUUUUUCCACGAAAAGCUUUGUGUUCCAGGUGUUAGCUGCAGCUUAUGUCAAAACCUUUUAGAGGUUUCUGCUGGAUCAAUGAAUUAUCAAGUGUCAGCAGCCUUACUUGCAUGAUUACAAGAAUGGACGGUACCGAUGGGAGGACCAUAAUCUCCCAUCAGGUAUCUGGAAAGGAACAAAUGGUGGUGAGGUUAUUAUUUCAAUUAGUGGCUGUGAUGAUCAUCAGAACUCUGCAGAUACUUUCGUAGGCGACGAUGGAAGUCUUCAUGGUUCAGGCCAGAGCAAUCCCCGACUUGGUCCUUUGCCUCUCACUGUCGUCUUCCUCAGUUUCUUUCUCCUGCUCUCAUUUGUGCGACAUCGUCUGUGAUUUGCCGAUGACAGCCCCUCUCUCACCUUCAGAAGUGCAGCACAGCAGCAAUGAGGCGACUAGAAUGACAAGGAGUGAAGGUGGUUAAUGAAGCUUGAAAGACACUGUUUUUUUUUUCUGUUUUCUAGUUUGAUUUUUUUUUUUGUUUUCCUUAGAUUUCAGCUGUCACCGUCCCUGCAAAAUAGUGCAUACCUGUAUCAAACGAAAAAGAAAGAAAAAGCACUUAUAGGCAGCUGUAAUUCAGAAGCAGAUAGUUGUAUUUAGCCCUUUUCCUGUCAAAUAUUGAUAUAUGAGCAUAAAAAUGGAACAGUAAAUUAGCCUUUACCGUCGAUUUUCUUAGACAA